rnacentral:rRNA from 1 species
UACAGAGGUCCCGAGCGUUGUUCGGAUUCACUGGGCGUAAAGGGUGCGUAGGUGGUUGUGCAAGUCUGAUGUGAAAUCUCCGGGCUUAACCCGGAAAUGGCAUUGGAAACUGCAUGGCUAGAGGGUUGGAGGGGGGACUGGAAUACUUGGUGUAGCAGUGAAAUGCGCAGAUAUCGGGAGGAACACCAGUGGCGAAGGCGGCACUCUGGGCCGGUACUGACGCUGAGGAGCGAAAGCGUGGGGAGCGAACAGG